rnacentral:rRNA from 1 species
UUUAGCGGCGGACGGGUGAGUAACACGUGGGUAAUCUGCCUGUAAGACGGGGAUAACUCCGGGAAACCGGGGCUAAUACCGGAUAAUAAGAGAAGAAGCAUUUCUUCUUUUUGAAAGUCGGUUUCGGCUGACACUUACAGAUGAGCCCGCGGCGCAUUAGCUAGUUGGUGAGGUAACGGCUCACCAAGGCGACGAUGCGUAGCCGACCUGAGAGGGUGAUCGGCCACACUGGGACUGAGACACGGCCCAGACUCCUACGGGAGGCAGCAGUAGGGAAUCUUCGGCAAUGGGCGAAAGCCUGACCGAGCAACGCCGCGUGAGCGAUGAAGGCCUUCGGGUCGUAAAGCUCUGUUGUUAGAGAAGAACAAGUACGAGAGUAACUGCUCGUACCUUGACGGUACCUAACCAGAAAGCCACGGCUAACUACGUGCCAGCAGCCGCGGUAAUACGUAGGUGGCAAGCGUUAUCCGGAAUUAUUGGGCGUAAAGCGCGCGCAGGCGGUCUCUUAAGUCUGAUGUGAAAGCCCACGGCUCAACCGUGGAGGGUCAUUGGAAACUGGGAGACUUGAGUGCAGGAGAGAAAAGUGGAAUUCCACGUGUAGCGGUGAAAUGCGUAGAGAUGUGGAGGAACACCAGUGGCGAAGGCGGCUUUUUGGCCUGUAACUGACGCUGAGGCGCGAAAGCGUGGGGAGCAAACAGGAUUAGAUACCCUGGUAGUCCACGCCGUAAACGAUGAGUGCUAGGUGUUGGGGGGUUCCACCCUCAGUGCUGAAGUUAACACAUUAAGCACUCCGCCUGGGGAGUACGACCGCAAGGUUGAAACUCAAAGGAAUUGACGGGGGCCCGCACAAGCAGUGGAGCAUGUGGUUUAAUUCGAAGCAACGCGAAGAACCUUACCAGGUCUUGACAUCCUUUGACCACUCUAGAGAUAGAGCUUUCCCCUUCGGGGGACAAAGUGACAGGUGGUGCAUGGUUGUCGUCAGCUC